GAGAAACUUUGAGAAGCGGGAUCGCUCAAAUCGCAUGAGUCUAAUGAUCAUUAAGCGCGGAAUUCUGGAAUCCUUUAGAGGUGCAAUAUCCGAAGAGAUAACUAAUGCUAAAGAGUUCUUUGUCGAAAUUGAGAAACGUUUUGUGAAAAACAAUAAGGCUGAAACAAGCACACUUUUGCAAAGCUUGAUUUCAAUAAAGUAUAAAGGCAAGGGGAACAUAAGGGAGUACAUCAUGAAGAUGUCUCACAUUGCUUCAAAACUUAAAGGGCUAAAGUUUGAGCUGUCUGAUGACUUGCUCGUGCAUUUGGUAUUUGUCUCACUUCUUACAUAGUUUAGUCAAUUUAAGGUCAGUUAUAACUGCUAGAAGGAUAAAUGGUCUCUAAAUGAGCUCAUUUCGUAUUGUGUGCAAGAGGAAGAAAGGUUGAAGCAAGAUAGAACUAAAGUUGCUCACUUGCCAAGCACUUCUAAAGAUAAGGGCAAGAAAAAGAUGAAGGAAUAUGAAACUGCUUCUAAGGGUCCA
rnacentral:lncRNA from 1 species